rnacentral:rRNA from 1 species
GGGACUAGUCCUGCAGGUUUAAACGAAUUCGCCCUUAGAGUUUGAUCCUGGCUCAGGAUGAACGCUAGCGGCAGGCCUAAUACAUGCAAGUCGAACGGUAAGGACUCGCUUGCGAGUCACACGAGUGGCGCACGGGUGCGUAACGCGUAUGCAACCUACCUUCAACUGGAGAAUAGCCCCNAGAAAUCGUGAUUAAUACUCCAUAAUAUCCAUUUAUCUCAUGUUAGUUGGAUUAAAGUUCCGGCGGUUGAAGAUGGGCAUGCGUGACAUUAGUUUGUUGGUGAGGUAACGGCUCACCAAGACUACNAUGUCUAGGGGUUCUGAGAGGAUUUUCCCCCACACUGGUACUGAGACACGGACCAGACUCCUACGGGAGGCAGCAGUAAGGAAUAUUGGGCAAUGGACGAAAGUCUGACCCAGCCAUGCAGCGUGCAGGAUGACAGCCCUACGGGUUGUAAACUGCUUUUAUACGGGAAGAAUCCCCUGUACGUGUACAGGGUUGACGGUACCGUACGAAUAAGCAUCGGCUAACUCCGUGCCAGCAGCCGCGGUAAUACGGAGGAUGCAAGCGUUAUCCGGAUUCAUUGGGUUUAAAGGGUGCGUAGGCGGAAUGGUAAGUUAGUGGUGAAAUCCCCCGGCUCAACCGGGGAACUGCCAUUAAUACUGCCGUUCUUGAGUAUAGUUGAAGUGGGCGGAAUGUAUCAUGUAGCGGUGAAAUGCUUAGAUAUGAUACAGAACACCAAUAGCGUAGGCAGCUCACUAAACUAUAACUGACGCUCAGGCACGAAAGCGUGGGGAGCAAACAGGAUUAGAUACCCUGGUAGUCCACGCCGUAAACGAUGAUCACUCGCUGUUGGCGAUACACAGUCAGCGGUAAAGGGAAACCAUUAAGUGAUCCACCUGGGGAGUACGGUCGCAAGAUUGAAACUCAAAGGAAUUGACGGGGGCCCGCACAAGCGGAGGAGCAUGUGGUUUAAUUCGAUGAUACGCGAGGAACCUUACCUGGGCUUAAAUGUUGGACGACUGUCCCCGAAAGGGGACUUUCCUUCGGGACGUCUAGCAAGGUGCUGCAUGGUUGUCGUCAGCUCGUGCCGUGAGGUGUCGGGUUAAGUCCCAUAACGAGCGCAACCCCUAUCCUUAGUUGCCAUCAGGUAAUGCUGGGGACUCUAAGGAAACUGCCUACGCAAGUAGCGAGGAAGGUGGGGAUGACGUCAAAUCAGCACGGCCCUUAUGUCCAGGGCUACACACGUGCUACAGUGGCCGGUACAGAGGGCAGCUACCUGGUGACAGGAUGCUAAUCUCGAAAACCGGUCUCAGUUCGGAUCGAAGUCUGCAACUCGACUUCGUGAAGUUGGAUUCGCUAGUAAUCGCACAUCAGCCAUGGCGCGGUGAAUACGUUCCCGGGCCUUGUACACACCGCCCGUCAAGCCAUGGAAGCUGGGAGUACCUAAAGUCCGUAACCGCAAGGAGCGGCCUAGGGUAAAACUAGUAACUGGGGCUAAGUCGUAACAAGGUAAAGGGCGAAUUCGCGGCCGCUAAA